GAUGUAGAAGCUUAUCUGAAGAUUAUCCACUGGAGAGGUUCGGUUGCAUAAGGAAUCCGACAGAAUGUCGAUCGAUAGUAAAAUUCAGAAGGUGCUAUAAAAGGUUGACUGAUAGAAAAGUCCGAAAGGCAUUAUGGAGGUUCGUCUACUGGAGGAGUCUGGUUGGCACUGUUGAAGUUCGGUUAGCACUGUUGAAGGUUGAUGGUUGGAGAGGCACGGAAGACACCGGAGACAGUCGGUCACUGUAGAAAUUCGACUGCUGGAGCCCGUCUGUUGUAGAAGUUCGGACGGAGUCUGAUUCUUGUAGGAGUCCGAAAGGAGGCUGCUUACUGUAGAAGCUUGGAUG
rnacentral:lncRNA from 1 species